rnacentral:lncRNA from 13 species
UUUGUCAUUCCAGAUUUGGCCCAAUCUUGCAAGUUUACAGGAAGAGAAACUUGGCUGCGGAGAGGAAAAUGACUUGCUCAAAGUCAAACAGAGAUUCAGGACAGAGUUGAAGGCUGGAUCAUAACA